rnacentral:rRNA from 1 species
GUCCAGACUCCUACGGGAGGCAGCAGUGGGGAAUAUUGCACAAUGGGGGAAACCCUGAUGCAGCGACGCCGCGUGAGCGAUGAAGUAUUUCGGUAUGUAAAGCUCUAUCAGCAGGGAAGAAAAUGACGGUACCUGACUAAGAAGCCCCGGCUAACUACGUGCCAGCAGCCGCGGUAAUACGUAGGGGGCAAGCGUUAUCCGGAUUUACUGGGUGUAAAGGGAGCGUAGACGGCAUGGCAAGUCAGAUGUGAAAGCCCGGGGCUCAACCCCGGGACUGCAUUUGAAACUGUCAGGCUGGAGUGCAGGAGAGGUAAGUGGAAUUCCUAGUGUAGCGGUGAAAUGCGUAGAUAUUAGGAGGAACACCAGUGGCGAAGGCGGCUUACUGGACUGUAACUGACGUUGAGGCUCGAAAGCGUGGGGAGCAAACAGGAUUAGAUACCCCCGUAUC